rnacentral:rRNA from 1 species
GACGAACGCUGGCGGCGUGCUUAACACAUGCGAGUCGAACGGACAGGCCCUGCUCUUGUGGGGUGCUCGUGUGGCGAACGGGUGUGUGACACGCGUGUAACCCGCCCUUGUCUUUGGGAUAACAUCUGGGGACUGGGGCUAAUACAGGGUAGGAGAUCUUGAAGCACGGGGGGGGUUGGUGAGUUUCGGCGGUUGGGGCUGGACUCGCGGCUUAUGAGCUGGUUGGGGGGGUAGGUGAUUACCAGGGCUUUGACGGGUAGCCGGCCUGAGAGCGUGGCCGGCCACCUGGGGACUGAGAGACGGCCCAGACUCCUACGGGAGGCAGCAGGGGGGAGUAUGGCGCAAUGGGCGGACGCCUGAGGCAGCAACGCCGCGUGCGGGAUGACGUGCUUCGGGUUGUAAACCGCUUUCGCCGGUGACGAAGCGUGAGUGACGGUAAUGGGUAAAGAAGCACCGGCUAACUACGUG